UACGUAGGGUGCAAGCGUUGUCCGGAAUUAUUGGGCGUAAAGAGCUCGUAGGCGGUCUGUCGCGUCUGCUGUGAAAACUCAGGGCUUAACCCUGAGCUUGCAGUGGGUACGGGCAGACUAGAGUGCGGUAGGGGAGACUGGAAUUCGUCGGUGUAGCGGUGAAAUGCGUAGAUAUCGAGAGGAACACCUGCGGCGAAGGCGGGUUGCUGGGCUGACACUGACGCUGAUGCGCGAAAGCCAGGGGAGCGAACGGG
rnacentral:rRNA from 1 species